rnacentral:lncRNA from 1 species
UGGGAUUUCUGGCUUUAGGAUCACCCCAGACUUGGUUUUUGGCUUUAGGAUGGCCCCAAAUGUGGGGUUUUGAACUUUAGGAUGGCCCCAAAUGUGGGCUUUUGGCCUUUAGGAUCGCCCCUAAUGUGGUUUUGGGCUUUAGGAUUGCCCCCAUGGUGGGUUCCCAGCAUUAGGAUUGCCCUAAAUGUGGGGAUUCCUGUUUUGGGGUGAUCCUAAAUGUGGGAUUUCUGGCUUUAGGAUCACCCUGGACUUGUUUUUGGGCUUUAGGAUCAUCCCCAAUGUGGUUUUGGGCUUUAGGAUCGCCCCCAUGGUGGGUUCCCAGCUUUAGGAUUGCCCUAAAUGUGGGGAUUCCUGCUUUGGGGCGAUCCUAAAUGUGGGAUUUCUGGCUUUAGGAUCACCCCAGACUUGGUUUCUGGCUUUAGGAUGGCCCCAAAUAUGGGGUUUUGGGCUUUAAGAUAAUCCCCAAUGUGGUUUUGGGCUUUAGGAUCGUCCCCUGGGGGGGGUUCCCGGCUUUAGGAUUGCCCCAAAUGCGGGGUUUUAGGCUUUAGGAUCACCCCAAAUGUGGGAUUUAUGGCUUUAGACUCCCUCCCACCAUACUCCCGCCUUCGGAAUCGCCCCGAACGUGGGGUUUGGGGCUUUUAGGAUCGCCUUUAGGGCAGCACUCACACGGCGUUGUCCUUGUAGUGCCGCAGCGCCUGCUCGGCCACGCUCUGCAUGAAGCGGGGAUCGUCCCAGGGGAUGUCCUCGGGCACCCUUAGGGCCAGGGGCUCCC